GACGAGAAGACCCCGUGAAGUUGUAGCGGGAGCAGGAAAGCUCCUUCUUUUGCUGGGGCAGCAAAAGAGCUAGGUUAGACUCUUUUUUCUUUUAGGUUGGUGAAAGACCCAUUAAGUGAGUAUCAGAAGAAGUUACUCCGGGGAUAACAGCGUAAUUUAUCUUGAUAGUUCCUAUAGAUGGGUAAGAUUGCGACCUCGAUGUUG
rnacentral:rRNA from 1 species